rnacentral:rRNA from 1 species
CUACGGGCGGCUGCAGUGGGGAAUAUUGCACAAUGGGCGCAAGCCUGAUGCAGCCAUGCCGCGUGUAUGAAGAAGGCCUUCGGGUUGUAAAGUACUUUCAGCGGGGAGGAAGGGAGUAAAGUUAAUACCUUUGCUCAUUGACGUUACCCGCAGAAGAAGCACCGGCUAACUCCGUGCCAGCAGCCGCGGUAAUACGGAGGGUGCAAGCGUUAAUCGGAAUUACUGGGCGUAAAGCGCACGCAGGCGGUUUGUUAAGUCAGAUGUGAAAUCCCCGGGCUCAACCUGGGAACUGCAUCUGAUACUGGCAAGCUUGAGUAUCGUAGAGGGGAGUAGAAUUCCAGGUGUAGCGGUGAAAUGCGUAGAGAUCUGGAGGAAUACCGGUGGCGAAGGCGGCCCCCUGGACGAGGACUGACGCUCAGGUGCGAAAGCGUGGGGAGCAAACAGGAUUAGAUACCCUUGUAGUC